AACGAACGCUGGCGGCAGGCCUAACACAUGCAAGUCGAACGCACCGCAAGGUGAGUGGCGCACGGGUGAGUAACACGUGGGAAUGUACCCUUUGGUUCGGAAUAACGUUUGGAAACGAACGCUAAUACCGGAUGAGCCCUACGGGGGAAAGAUUUAUCGCCAAAGGAGCAGCCCGCGUCUGAUUAGCUAGUUGGUGGGGUAAAGGCCUACCAAGGCGACGAUCAGUAGCUGGUCUGAGAGGAUGAUCAGCCACACUGGGACUGAGACACGGCCCAGACUCCUACGGGAGGCAGCAGUGGGGAAUAUUGGACAAUGGGCGCAAGCCUGAUCCAGCCAUGCCGCGUGAGUGAUGAAGGCCUUCGGGUUGUAAAGCUCUUUCGCACACGACGAUGAUGACGGUAGUGUGAGAAGAAGCCCCGGCUAACUUCGUGCCAGCAGCCGCCGUAA
rnacentral:rRNA from 1 species